UUGGAAAGAGAAGUAAGGAUCCCUAUGAAAUCUAAAAAGAAAUGUCGGGAAAAUAUAAAGGGAGAGAUCAACAAUUUUCUAUCUCUUUUACAAUACUAGAAGCAAGAAACAGACAGAAAAGAGCAUCAAAUAGUUUGAAUUGGAGUAGUCUUGGUCUAGGCGUUUGAUUUUUUCUUGAAAAAAAAAAUUAGCGAUCUAAAUCAAUAAUAUUCCUCACGCUAACCAGAAACAAGCCAUAACCUUACCUGAAAUCAGCCCUCGACAACACCCAAAACAAACCACCACAUGGCAGCCUUACAAUCAUCCCCUAACAACACCCAGCUUAAAACCAAGUCUGCCUCCGCUAAGGGCUACCCCGGUGUCCCCCAAUUCGAGUCAAAUUUCUCUAAGUGUGUUUGAAAAGGAAGAAAAAAAGAGUGAUGCUGGAAAAGUUAUAAAUAAGGUGAUUAUAAUUAUUACCGUUUUGAUUUAUUUUAUCGAUUUUGAAUGUGGAUGUAAAGGGAGAUUGAUAAGUUUGCAUUACUAGGGAGGAGCUUCAAUUGGAAAAAACAAUUAAAAAAAUGGUGAUUAAAGGGAACUCUAUUUUGUCUUUGGUUAAUGGUUUUGAGGACAAUGAUAACUAUAAAAAUGGUGAAAUCAGCUAGAAAUUAUAUGAUUUGGCAAGUAAGUUAUUUUAUUUAUGUAUUAAUAUUUAGGUUUGCAUUACAUGCUCUCAUUCAUUUUGGUGUUCUUCUUUCUCUUAGUUUUUUUCUUAUGACCCAGUGCUUUUGCUUAAUUCAGAGCUGUUGUUGUGAUUCACUUUGGUUUUUACUCAUUUUGAAUCUCACAUGCUCCUUUUAUGCAUCCCUCUUUGCUA